CUCUCUUUUGGAGUGUUUGGUGAGCCCUUGUACUUGGAAAGGAGGGUUUGUCUACUGUAGUAUAAGUCAUUCGCUGAGCAGCGCUGCUGAUGGAGGGAACAACAGAUGCCUUCUUGCAAGGUUACCUCAAAUAGGAUUAAAAAGAAAAAGAAGACAAAUCCAAAUCCUCUGAGGGCUAUCUUUGGAACAUCCUCGGAGAUUAAUGACAGACUCACAAAUAGAGAAGUGUUUAUAUGCAUCAUUUGUGGUGUGCCUCUGGAUUAAAAAGCUGAGGAAUUAAUAAGUAUCACCUGAACAAUGUAGAAAAAAAUUAAAAUUAACUUUCAGGUUAUUCUCAGAUUAUGCAGUCAUUCUU
ensembl:lncRNA